rnacentral:RNase_P_RNA from 1 species
GGGGCGGACCGGGGCGCCGCCCGGUUCCCGCUGUCUUUGGCGGGAUCCGGGAGGAAAGUCCGGGCUCGAUAGGACGCGACGCCGGCUAACGGCCGGGCGCGGUGCUGGAGACGGCAGCGCGACAGACAGCGCAACAGAAAGCGUACCGCCUCGGGGAAACCCGGGGUAAGGGUGAAAAGGUGGGGUAAGAGCCCACCGCGUCCGCGGCAACGAGGACGGCACGGCAAACCUCGUCGCGAGCAAGGCCAAGCAGUGGUCCGCGGUCCGCGGGCGGGCGCCUCUGGCGCCCGCGAUCCACGGGUUGGCCGCGCGAGCCGGAAGGCAACUUCCGGUCAAGAUGGAUGGCGCCCGGUCGGCCGCAAGGCCGGCCACAGAACCCGGCUUACAGGUCCGCCCCUUUU